GCCUGAACUUGGCAUUCCCCCGCAAGCCAGGAAGGAGGCAGGAUGGAAGAGUUCUCUGCAGCAGACUCUCUGCCCAGCCCAUCCAACACAGCUUUUGCAAGUACAGUGAAUACAUCAGACAGAAAUGAUUAACUGGAUGUUAGUGGACCUAGCUGCCAUGGAAGGAGUAGUAUAUAAAAAUCAAGCGAUGGAAGAGAACUACAAAGAAAUAUGGAUAUACAGUUUGUGGGAAUAUGCUGAGCACAGAAAGAAGACUUUACUGAGCAUUAUCAGCAAUAUUUGAUGAAAGCCAACAAGAUAGAAACAACCUGCAAGACACUUCCAAAAGAACCUUGUUCGAAAGUCUAUGUUGUGCUUGGCUACAUCUGGCAGUGAGUUAAAAGUAUGUGCUGGAGUGUCACAGCACCACAGUACUUUGUUAGCUUUGAACCCAGAACUGCUUUGAACCCAGAACUGAAAAAUAUUCCUAGUAGAAAUUGUAUUCCAAGAAAACCCAAACUAAGGAAUCCUGUUGAUGAAGAUAAAUGUGCUUGCUUAGAGAGGAAAGGAAAGAAAUUGCUGGAGAAACACCAAUUGCUUUAUCAAGAGAAAAGCAUUCCAGUUACGCAUUCUAAAAAGUGUGUAAGGAUAAAGAAAGGCAUAUUCAACUUCUCACCAAUUCCAUCCCCAGAAUCUAUAUUGGAAUGUGUUAAAGGGAGACCUGAUGUGUGAGCACUGUAAGAUAUUCCCCUCAGGGGAUGGAGCCGCUCUGGGAAGAGCAGAAGGUUUCAAGUUCCCUCCCUGGCUUCAAGAUAGGGCUGAGAGAGAUUCCUGCCAUGCCUACAACCCUGGAGAAGCCACUGCCAGUCUGUGAAGACGUUACUGAGCUAGAUGGACCAAUGGUCUGACUCAGUAUAUGGCAGUUUCCUAUGUUUCCUAAAGAAUGUGGCGGUGGUGGUGAAAUGUUCGGCAGUGCUUAGUUUCGCUUCUGUAGUGUCCUAGAGGGCAAAGCAGGAAGAAGGAUCUCAAGUUCUGGACAGUCAGUGUGACAGAGUACUGGAUUGGCAUCAGGGAGACCUGGGUUCAAAUACCUUCUCAGCCAUGAAACUCAUUGGGUGACUUUGGCCAUGUCACUAGCUCUCAGCUUAACCUACCUCCUUAGGUUGUUGUGUGAGUACCAUGGGCAAUAUCCAUAUGAUACAUCAUUUCAAUGUAUCAUCAUGAGUUUCUUGGAGGAAGGGAAACAGAAAUAUAAUAGAUUUUAAAAAUUCUGAACUACUUGGAUGCUAAAGGGGCAUGAGAAGAAGAAGAAGAAGGAAGGGAAGAAUGAGGAGGCAACUUUGAAGGGAGACAGGCCAAGGGAUGGAAGGGGCUGGGAAACUAAACACAUGAGACAUUUCAGAGAAAUUAAGUGCAGACAUAUAGUAUAUCCUGAAGGGUGUAUAUGUCUUUGAGUACAAAUGCCUUGUGUUGAUUGUGCUGAGAAUCCAUGGAUCAACCAAGAUUCACCCACCCCAUCAGUGCUUGGCGCUUUGGCACUUAAGGCAUUCAUUGGAUAGGUAUAACCCAGCUCCCUUCCUCUUCUUUGAAUUUAAGUUCCCCCUAAGCUUAGAGCAGCAGUGAAAACUGCAAGCAGAAUGCCUCUCCAGUGUCUAAACCCUGGAAGAGAGUUAAGGCCUGUCCAAACAUGCAUUGCUAUUGAUGGCUGCAACAUCAAGUGAUGACUUACAUUUAUGUAUCAGGCAAUCACAGAUGUAAUGAGUUGGAUGGAGUAAUCAUUUCACCUUCACAUCACCUCAGACACUUCAGGCUUUUUUAGUUGAGUCAGUUCACAUAUUUGUCAAGUGUAGAGGAAUGACGUGAUGUGCAUGCAUGUGUGAAGCAGUGCUUAGACAUCUCUUUCUUGACUUGAGGGGGGGCCUUGCUAUGACAUGACUGGAUAGCAGCUGAUCUAAAUGAUUACACUGGCUGACAUGAUGUGCAACAAUACAUUGACUUAAGAAGGGCUACAAGUCCACAGGGAGCCUCUAGCGGCCCUGUGGUAAUGGUCCGUUGCACAGCCAAAUGAUUUUUGCUCUCCUCCCCUCCCUUCAAAAGCAUAAAUAUGUUAUUGAGGGUUGUGCAAUGGAAAGGGUUUUUUGGAGGAAUGGAAGAGGAGCAAAAAACACUUCCCCCUCUGCACCCUCUCGGCUGUGCAAUGGGCCGUCACUGCAGCAACACUAGGGGCUGCCUGUAGACCCACUGCCCUUCUUAAACCAAGGCACUACUGCACAUCAUGUUGGCCACCAUCUCUUAUUACUAACUAGGAAAAUGCACAUUAAAACGCACUAGCAUGCUGCGGGAACCUAUGGGGAGAUGACACAGUCCAUAUAUAGCUCCAUAUGGCAUCUCUGACUGGAAGCCUAGCCACUCAAUGUCAGGGUAGGUUUGGAGAACAGAUAUUACUGCUGCCAUAAGGUCCUCAAAUGUAUGGAUGGAUGUUUUGUCAUACAUGCAUACAUUUGCAUAUGAAUAAAGCAAUAAUUGGUGGGUAAUCUACCAUCUACUGCUUUUUGUAAGUACAUAUGUUAGAAAUAAUUCAUAUUUCAAAUGUGUUAGCUGAUUAACUGGGGAACCUUUGUAGUUGAUAAAAAUGACUUUAAUCAAUUACUGUACCUGAUGAAUGCCUUCUCAGAAGUAAGCCCCACUGUGUUCAAUGGGCCUUACUUCCAGGCAAGUAACUGUGUGUGUAUAGUCUAUAUAAUAGCAUUGCUUUUUAAAUUUUCAGAAUGCUUCACAAACAUUUUUUCCAGUAACACUUACAAGAACCUGUAAGAUAGAUCAUUAUUCAUCAUCAUCAUCAUCAUCAUCACCAUCACCAUCAACAGCAAUGUCAUCAUCAUCAUCAUCAAACUGAAGAAUCAGGGAGGCAGGGUCCAAGGCUGAGAAAAAUUAUGGCUUGCCUAAGGCCAUCUAGUGAGUGCAUGGCUGAGCAGAGAUUUGAACCUGACUUCCUGGUUCAGGGCUCAUAGUCAUGCAGCUCAACCUGAGCACAUUUACUCAAAAUCCCAACAAAAUCCAAAGUGGUAUUUACUUCCCAGGAAACAUGGUCAGGAUUGCUGCCUCAGCCACCACACUUAUUUAAACUACAGCACUUUCUUGUCAAGGAACCUCACUGAGGCAAAGAGCGUCAAAAAGUGAUGCAGUCUUUAAUAGCUACACACCUUGGGAAUGGCAGGUACAUAUCACAUAUUAAAGUGACAUUACUUUAAAAGCAGAUCAGUGAGGUGUCAAUGAAUCCCCUAAAUCUGUUGUAUUUGAAACAAAGAUGACAACAGGUUGGCAGGUCAUACACGAGAAAGAAGCUGCUUUCUCUUCCAACCGGUGUAUAAAAUUGCAGGAGAAAAUUUAGCAUGAGAGGUUAGUCUGUCUGCAACAAUAAGAUGGAAACUAUGGCUACCGGCUGGAUGUUCUAGGCCCAUUUGCUAUUUGUAUAUAUGGUCUUUGGAGCACAUGCAUCUGCAUUAGGUAGGCAUCCAAAUUGUUAAACAUCCAGGAAUACAAACACAAAAUGGAGAAAGAGACAUAUGAGCUAGACUGCACAACAUGGGAAUCCCAGAUCAAAGGGCUGGUAUAAAGAGUUGGCUAACUUGGACAUUGGCCAAGGGCCCAGGACCAAUCCCUGAGCCCCUGAUGGGAAAAAAAAGUGCUAUCUGUGUGGCCAGGAAGAAAAAUGCCAAGCCUUUUUUGCUACAACCAAGGCAAGCCUACCAAAAUUGCUACGACCAAGGCAAGCCUACCAAAAAUCCUUGUAGGGGCUUACUUCAUGGAAGUGGUGGCAACAACUCAGAGAACUAUUUUAGCAUCUAUACUGGUGACUAUCAUUUUUCAUAAUCUAUAAAGCAAUGCUGUUGUAUCCAGUGAUGCCAUAGUGGGACACUGCAGUAUGGUGGGGAAAGAAAGCAGCCACCAGCAUGGCUUCCCCGCCACACCACCAAGGGGGCCCUUAGGCACUUGACCAAGCGCCUUCAUGAACCCGGCACUGAAUCUGAGGAUGGAUUAGGAUGUUACAAUGAUGGACGUUUGACCUUUUCUCCAUAUGCCACUUCAACAACUUAAAUCCCUACCCCUCAAAACUGCUAUUAGUUGUGGAAGGCUGAAAAGACUGGUAGCCAUAUUAUAUCUGUCUUUUUAGCCAACUAAAAGGACAGAUAUAAGCUUAUGAGAUCACCUGGAAAGUAAGCUUAUGAGAUCACCUGGCAUUCUGUCUGUGUGUGUGUGUGUGUGUGUGUGUGUGUGUCCCUGCUAUCAACUUCACAAUGCCUGGAACAAUAUGAAUUAAAUUGGGUACAGUUGUAGGGACACACGGGACAUCCACCCCCAAUUCAAGAUGGCAAAUGUUUUAAUGUUUGAGGCACAAGAGGGCUAACUUGUGAACCGCCUAAUCGAUUUGAAUCAAAUUUGCUACAGCUGUAGUGAGUGACACAUAGGAACACCUCAAUGGUGUAGUUUGUAAUGAUGUAAUAUACCCCAAUUCAAGAUGGUGGACGCAUGAAUGUUUGAGGCACAAGUGGGCUAACUUGCAAGCCACCGAAUUGAAUAGAACCAAAUCUGGAACAGUUGUACGAAUACGAAUAAGACAAAUAUUUAUAUACCGCUUUUCAACCAAAGUUCCCAAAGCGGUUUACAUACAGAAAUUAAUUGUUGUAGGGACACCUCAAGGGCGUAGAUUGUGGUGAUGUCAUCCACCCCAUUUAAGAUGACAGAUGCAUGUAUGUCUGUGUUAUAACUGGGCUAACUUAUAAACAGUUUCUAAUGAUGUCAUCCAUCCCAGUUCAAGGUGGCAGAUGCAUUACACGUGUGAACGUUACACACACAAGAGGGCUAACUUGUAAAUCACCUAACCUAUUUGAACCAAAUUGGCUACAGCUUUAGGUACACUUCAACGCCAUAGUUUGUGAUGAUGUCAUCCACUCCAAUUCAAGAUGAUGGGCAUGUGAACAUUUGAGGUGUAAGUGAGAACUGAUGUGCACCAAAUUUGAUACAGUUGUAGGCACAUAUAAGGACACCUCAACGGCAUAGUUUAUAAAAAUGUAAUCCACCCCAAUUCAAAAUGGCGGUGUAUAGACGUUUAAGGCUGAAGUGAGCUAAUUUAUGAGGAUGGUAAUUAUCAAUUAAGAUUAUAGUGAAAGGAAAGUAGGCAGAUUAGUUCUUACCAGAACUUGUUUUCCUUCUGCAGCAAAUAAGUGUUUAGAGAACAGGUGGAGAAAGACUUGACUCAAAUCUGACAGAAUACAGCACAGAGCGCAUAUGAAUAUCUAUGCUCAGGCAAUGCAUGCAGCAAAGAAGCAGUUCCUUUCUGCACGCAUUGCAUCCACAAGCUCACAUCCAGCAGAGUUGUCCAUGGUUGUGAGGGGACUAGAAUGUGCCCCUCCUCCCUUGAAUUGGGAUUUAAAGCCAUCAGUGACUCACUGUGACACAUUUAAUGAAUGGUUUUGGAUAAAAUCUCUCAGAUUCAAGCUGAACUGGAUCCCACAGUUAUUGCAGAGUCUAUUGUGGAGGUGUCCAGCAACUCCUCUUGUAUGGUUAGGUUAGAUCAGUUUUAGUUGGUGACUUCAGAGGACAUGGACAAGCUGCUUGGAGAAAUUCGCCUUACCAUCUGUUCUCUUGACCCUUACCCUACAUGGCCUAUACAAUCAAGCAGGGAAGUUAUUUGUCUCCAAUCUUCCUUGGUUGGGCAAGGUGAUUGAGAGGGUGGUGGCUUCUCAACUCCAAUGAGUCUUGGAAGAAGCAGAUUAUUUGGACCCAUUUCAAACUGGCUUUCAGAUGAGUUAUGGGGUGGAGACUGCCUUGGCCAGCCUGAUUGGUCUCCAAUUAAGGUUUGACAGUGUGUGUGUGACCCUGUUGGUCCUCUUGGACCUCUUGGUGGCUUUUGAUAUGAUCGACCAUGGUAUCCUUCUGGACCGCCUGAGGGUGUUGUAAGCAUGAGGCACUGCUUUGCAGUGGUUCCACUCCUCCAUCUCAGGUAGAUUCCAGAUGGUGUUGCUUGGAGAUAGUUGCUCUUUAAAGCAGGAGCGGUUGUAUGGAGUUCCAUAGGGCUUCCAAUAGUUUUUGACAUCUAUGUGAAACCCCUGGGAGCGAUCAUGAGAUUUGGUGCUGGGUGCUAUCAAUAUGCUGAUGACACCCAGAUCUAUUUUUCCAUAUCAGCUUAGUCAGGAGAUGGCUUAACCAAUCUAAGUGCGUGAUUAGAAUCGGUAAUGGGCUGGAUGAGGAAGAACAAACUGAAGUUGAAUCCAAAGAUGGAGGUUCUUGUGGGAGGCCAGAAUUUAGGAAGUGGUUUAGAUCUGCCUGUUCUGGAUGGGGUUACAACUCCCCUGAAAGAGCUGGUAUGUAGUUUGGGAGUACUUUGGGACCCAAACCUCUCCCUGAUAUCUCAGUUUGAGGCAGUGGCUAGAAAUGCUUUUUAUCAUUUCUAAUAUAAUGAUACGCCAUCUAAGUCCAUUUCUCGAGACAAAUGACCUUCAAACAGUGGUGCCUAUGCUGGUAACAUCCAGGCUUGACUAUUGCAAUGUGCCCUACAUUGUAGGAUUCCUUUGUACAUAUAUUAAGAUCAUUGGGGGAGGUCCAGUACUGCUCACUUGGUGGCAAUUCAGAAACAGGCCUUCUCUAUGGUUGCCCUGAGGCUCCUUAAGACACUCUCAAAUAAAAUCAGGGUCUUCCCAUAUCUGGCUGUUUUUAAAUAACUUUUUUGGGGGAAACACCUCUUUUAUCAGGCUUUUUAGUGUAUGAUGUUUUAAAAUUUUAUUUAUGGCCAUUUUAAUCUGUUUAUAUGAUUUUUAGGUUUUAGUUGUUUGAUUGGAUUGUAAACCACCUUGAGAUUUUAUAUAGAGUGGUAUAUAUAGUUUUACCCUGGUGGCGCAGUGGUAAAACUGCCGCCCUGUAACCAGAAGGUUACAAGUUCGAUCCUGACCAGGGGCUCAAGGUUGACUCAGCCUUCCAUCCUUCCGAGGUCGGUAAAAUGAGUACCCAGAAUGUUGGGGGCAAUAUGCUAAAAAUCAUUGUAAACCGCUUAGAGAGCUUCGGCUAUAGAGCGGUAUAUAAAUGUAAGUGCUAUUGCUAUUGCUAAGUGCUAAUAAGCAAAUACAUAAAUAAAAAUAGUAGCAGCAUCAGAGUGUAUGAUUUAAACUGGGGAAAUUGUGUGGGCAGAAAUAAUUUGCCUCCCUCUCCCACCAGCUUGGCUGCUUUUAGUGAAAGUAAAAUAUACCAGAUCUCUUCAUAAUGGAUCAGUGUUGUUUGGUCGUAAGAUCCCAGGUGUCAGUGCAUUUCUCCACAUAUGCCUCCAAUUUCAUGUGCUGAAACGGUGAGGUAUAUCCUCUCUCAAAUCAUCUUGAC